UACGUAGGGAGCAAGCGUUGUCCGGAAUCAUUGGGCGUAAAGCGCGCGUAGGUGGCUUCGUAAGUCCGUUGUGAAAGUCAAAGGCUCAACCUUUGAAAGCCGAUGGAUACUGUGAAGCUAGAGUACGGAAGAGGCGAGUGGAAUUCCUGGUGUAGCGGUGGAAUGCGCAGAUAUCAGGAGGAACACCUGUGGUGUAGACAGCUUACUGGACCAUCACUGACGCUGAAACACGAAAGCGUGGGUAGCAAACAGG
rnacentral:rRNA from 1 species